rnacentral:lncRNA from 1 species
AGGAAAAGAGAAACAGAAAGAAAGAUGAAAAAUAGUUUAGGCCAGAUAUUUGAACUAUGUUCGACCUGAUUCCUUAAAAAAUAAGGAUACGUAGGCAGCCUCACGAUUCGGUCCAGCCAAAUAAGAAUUCGAAAAAAAAAAAAAAGAGAAAAAAAUAAAAGAAAAAACCCAAAAAAAUCCCCAAUAGCUGAAACUGGGGCAGAGAUUUUAUUUCACUUUUGAAGGAGUCAAUUCCAAGAGUUGUAAGUCCAUAACCCCUCAUUAUGAGUCUAUUUUGACCUUUCAUGCCGACCCUUCUUUCCAAUCCUAUCCAAAAUCCUUCCAAAUAAAGACCUCCCGAUAUACCUUUAAGAAUGCCAAGAGAAGCAUGCAAUGAGCAACAGUUGUCACACGACAUAGAACACUGUCAAGUUGCUCAAGAAAGCAACAGAGAAAAGAGGAAGAGAAAAAAAAUGAGAGAGUCUUGCUAGUGAAAACCCUCACGUGCACUGUAAGGCGAUGGUAAGCAGAGAUGAAUAAAUGAGAGAGACUUGUAGGUGAAAAUCCCUCGGGGCACCACUAGUCAAAAGUGAAUCGUGAAGUUAAUGCAAAGAAUUGGCACAAACAAGCCCGAAUUUAAAGGUCAAAAUGGUAAAAGGGAAGAUUAGAUCAGUUUGAUAGAUCAGGCCGUUGAGUCCAAAAUGCAUGUCAUGAUCAUUAAGGCUAGUUAGUGCAAAAUAAAAAAAACGAAAAAAAAAACUCUUCCCCUAUCCUUCCCGACCGGGGCAUUUCUUGUUAAUAUUUGUUUCUUUGCGCCAUUGUGUCAUUCACCCUGAGUCAGUCCUUCUCAAAACAAGCAAGAAAAGAUUUCAAAAUCUGCUACCAGCUUUUCAGUUGUACAAAGUAAAUUUGGCCAGCAAACUCAGUUGUUAAUGUCAACAUACCUUGAGGAUUCAUACAAAGGCUCCCCCAAAAGACUCUUCAGCUUGCUUGGCGUAAACAAAGAUAACUUGUGAUUCUCUCUGAUAAACAAAUUGCUCAAAAAGUAGAAAGUCAUUCAAGAUAUCAGAAAAGGUCACCUAAGCAAAGAUCUCCAAUUGGGAUAAGGCUGAUUGAGCCACAACUACAAAUGGUACUGGGUAUGAAACAAUUAAGAUUGAUGCAGAGCAAGAGUCUCUUGAAACCGACUCAAGCUGAUUGAACAGAAGCCAAGCUGCCAAAGACGUCAAGGCCACGAACCGACCACCACUUUUGAAACUGACAAAAUUUUCUUUGUUUAAAACAGGAACAAAGCAGUGCAAGGAAAGUGGUUCAAAAAAAAAGAAGAGAAGAGAAGAUCCGACAAAGGGAAGUUUCUCAAAUCAUUGCCUUUACUUGUGUGCAUGUGCAUAAAAUUUUGCCAUUGCUUUUCACAAUUUUCCUCCUAGGAUAAAAGUCCUAGUCUGAUGGAUUUUUCUCCCAAUAAAAAUCUUAGUCUGAUGAAUUUUUCUCCUAAGAUAAGAAAAACAGUCUCAUGAAUUUUCUCCUAUGAUCAAAAUCUUAGUUUGACGAAUCUUUCUCCUAAGAUAGAAGACCUAGACUGAUAAACUUUCUCCUAGGAUAAAAAUCUUAGUCUGAUGAAUUUUUCUCCUAGGAUAAGAAAACCCAGUCUGAUGAAUUUUCUCCUAUGAUCAAAAUAGAGACCUAGUCUGAUGAAUUUUCUCCUAGGAUAAACGUCUUAGUCGGAUGAAUCUUUCUCCUAAGAUACCAAAAAAAAAAAAAAAGAAAAAGGACCUAGUCUGAUGAAUUUUUUCCUAGGAUUAACAUCUUAGUCUGAUGAAUUUUUCUCCUAAGAUAGAAAACCUAGUCUAACGAAUUUUCUUCUAGGAUAUUUUGAAAAAAAAAAAGGGAAGUCUGGAUUUGAAAAAAAAAAAGUCAAUUUUUAGUUUUCUUGAGUUAUCAAUGUUUAGUUUUCUUGAAAUCAGGCGUCCACCUGGAGAACAAGGGAAUACAUUUCAAGUUCAGCAAUCAGGCGCCCACCUGGAAAACAAGAGAAUACAUUUCAAGUUCAGCAAUCAGGCGCCACCUAGAAAACAAGGAAAUACAUUUCAAGUUGAGCAGUCAGGCGCCCACCUGGAAAACAUGGAAACACACUCAAGUUUCAGCAAUCAGGCGCCCACCUGAAGAACAAGAGAAUAUAUUUCAAGUUCAGCAAUCAAGAGCCCACCUGGAGAACAAGAGAAUACAUUCAAGUUUCAGCAAGUGGGUGUCCACCUGGAGAAAGGAAAACAUCUCCGAUUACAAUUCAAGGCGGCAACAAGGGGAUUCCACCGGGAGAAUACAAGUCAACAAGGCAACAGGAACCACAAGAGCAAGUUUGAAGAUAUAGAUAGGAUUUUGUAAUGCAUAGAUCAUAGACUAGGCUAGCUUCUUUUAUUUUAUUAUGGUGUAAUAAGGAGGUUCAACAAGCACUAGCAGCGGCAACAAUAGUGAAAUCACAGCUUUAUGGUAGUCCCAGCUACCAGACAUUCCUAAACUACAUUAACCUGAUUCCUUUCUUGCCAAGGAUAUGUAGGCAACCUCGGAAGUAGGGUGCAAUUAAAUCUUUCAAAAAUGCUUCUCAUGGAGCAUUCAAACGGGCAAAAAUCACUCAAAUUCGCUCACUUUAUCUUUGCAUGAAAACUCUUCGUGUUUUUAGCCCUAUAUGAAUUACUCUCAUAAUUUCAAAACAAAAUAAUUUCUUUUCAUUAUUUGCAAUUUUAUUGAUUUUCGUGGCAUUUUAUGUUAAAUGUUUGCAUUUGUC